UACGUAGGGUGCAAGCGUUGUCCGGAAUUAUUGGGCGUAAAGAGCUCGUAGGCGGUUUGUCGCGUCUGCUGUGAAAACCCGAGGCUCAACCUCGGGCCUGCAGUGGGUACGGGCAGACUAGAGUGCGGUAGGGGAGAUUGGAAUUCCUGGUGUAAGCGGUGGAAUGCGCAGAUAUCAGGAGGAACACCAAUGGCGAAGGCAGAUCUCUGGGCCGUAACUGACGCUGAGGAGCGAAAGCAUGGGGAGCGAACAGG
rnacentral:rRNA from 1 species